CAGCCGCCGCGGGAAUACAGAGGGUGCAAGCGUUAAUCGGAAUUACUGGGCGUAAAGCGCACGCAGGCGGCUCGAUAAAUUAGAAGUGAAAGCCUUGGGCUUAACCUGAGAAUUGCUUUUAAGACUGUCGAGCUAGAAUCCAGAAGAGGGUAGUGGAAUUCCGAGUGUAGAGGUGAAAUUCGUAGAUAUUCGGAAGAACACCAGUGGCGAAGGCGACUACCUGGUCUGGCAUUGACGCUCAUGUGCGAAAGCGUGGGGAGCAAACAGGAUUAGAGACCCCGGUAGUCCCUGUCUCUUAUAC
rnacentral:rRNA from 1 species